rnacentral:rRNA from 1 species
GAUGAACGCUAGCGGCAGGCUUAACACAUGCAAGUCGAGGGGUAUAGUUCUUCGGAACUAGAGACCGGCGCACGGGUGCGUAACGCGUAUGCAAUCUACCUUUUACAGGGGGAUAGCCCAGAGAAAUUUGGAUUAAUACCCCAUAGUAUGUUAGAGUGGCAUCAUUUUAACAUUAAAGUUCCAACGGUAAAAGAUAAGCAUGCGUCCCAUUAGCUAGAUGGUAAGGUAACGGCUUACCAUGGCGACGAUGGGUAGGGGUCCUGAGAGGGAGAUCCCCCACACUGGUACUGAGACACGGACCAGACUCCUACGGGAGGCAGCAGUGAGGAAUAUUGGACAAUGGGCGCAAGCCUGAUCCAGCCAUGCCGCGUGCAGGAAGACGGUCCUAUGGAUUGUAAACUGCUUUUGUACAGGAAGAAACACUCCCUCGUGAGGGAGCUUGACGGUACUGUAAGAAUAAGGAUCGGCUAACUCCGUGCCAGCCGCCGCCGUAACAC